rnacentral:rRNA from 1 species
UAGUCCACGCAGUAAACGAUGAAUGUUAGUCGUCGGGGGGCUCGUCCUUUCGGUGAUGCAGCUAACGCAUUAAGCAUUCCACCUGGGGAGUACGAUCGCAAGACUGAAACUCAAAGGAAUUGACGGGGGCCCGCACAAGCGGUGGAGCAUGUGGUUUAAUUCGAAGCAACACGAAGAACCUUACCAAAUCUUGACAUCCCAAUGACCGGUUUUAAUCGAACCUUUUCUUCGGAACAUUGGUGACAGGUGGUGCAUGGUUGUCGUCAGCUCGUGUCGUGAGAUGUUGGGUUAAGUCCCGCAACGAGCGCAACCCUUAUUUUUAGUAGCCAGCACGUAAUGGUGGGGACUCUAGAGAGACUGCCGGGGACAACUCGGAGGAAGGUGGGGAUGACGUCAAAUCAUCAUGCCCCUUAUGAUUUGGGGCUACACACGUGCUACAAUGGUAGUUACAAAGGGGAAGCGAAGCCGUGAGGUGGAGC